rnacentral:misc_RNA from 1 species
UUUCCUUUGCAGAUCCUCAACUUGUUCCCUCAAUGCGACUAGCUCUUCUAUGUCCUUUUCUGUAGCCAAAGCCCUCGAGGAAAAGAUUGAGAAGCUAUCAACAUCUUGAUUAUUACCUGCAUUCUUACCUUGGUCCUUGUCUCCAUGUUCUUUUUUCUUUUUUGCUGGUAUAGAUUGAGUUGUAUACCUCUCUUUUGGAUCAUUUAUCUUCAAUAAUAAAAAGGGCAAGAUCAGUAUCUGUUGGAACAUUGACAUCCAUAUAUAGCAAAUAAAAUUGCCUCAAGAAAAAGAUCACCAAUUACAUAAAUAGAACGCUGAUGACUAAGUAAUCAUCAAAACAACAAUUUAAAAAAGAAAAAUUGAGCAUUCAGUUUAUGUAACUAUCUUUAAUAUAAGGUUUUAGGAUAUGACAUGGUCAAUUUCUACAAACUACAAAAAGUUUGCUUUGUUUGCUGUUGAAAUAUAUGCAUCAAGGCAUAAAUAAAAACAGUAUUCAAGGCCUAAUCAAGUUAUUGCUAGCACUGGCAUAAUGCAAAGCACACAAAACAAAAAUAUAAAAGUUCAGAAAAAUACUUGUGGUUUAUCACUUUGACACUAAGGGAUGGAAAAAUCCUUUUCACCAUUUUAGUACCAUGAGGCUUCAUCUUUUGUCACUUUAAUACCAUUUUAACUAAGAUUAUUGUUAUUAUUAUAUUCAAAUAAUAUUCUUAUAGCAUAAAAUAACUAGUUAUGUGAAAUCAAAUGCUUUAUUAAUGAUACCUGUAGUAUGUCUGAAAAAAUAUAAUAUUAUCUAUAUAUGUUUUCACCAUAAUAAAAUUGUCUCAAUUUUUUUAUUUUUUUUUAUU